AAAUAUUUUUUAUAGUUUAAAAAAUUUAAUAAAAAUUUACUUUAUAUAUAAAUUUUUGUAAUUUAUUUAAUUAUUUAAAUAAUAAUUAAUUAUAAAAAAUAAUGUAGUAAAUAAUUUUAAAAAUUUAAGAAAUUAAGAUUUAGUAAUAUAAAAAUUAAUAACAAAUUUUGUGCCAGCAGUUGCGGUUAAACAAAAAUUAAAUUAAAUUUUUUUAAUAAUUAAUUAAUAAAAUAAAAUUUAUUAUAAAUAUUAAAUUAUUAGGUGAAAUUUUAAUUUAAUUUAAAAAUAAUUUAAUUUUAUGAUUUAAUAAAUUAAAAAAUAAACUAGGAUUAGAUACCCUAUUAUAAUAAAUUAAAAAAAUAAUAUUAAAAUAGUAUAUAUAUAUAAUUAAUAAAAUAUAUGGAAACUUAAAUAAUUUGGCGGUAUUUUAGUUCAUUUAGAGGAAUCUGUUUAAUAAUUGAUAAUCCACGAAUAAAUUUACUUAAUUUAAAAAUUUGUAUAUCGUUGUUAUAAAAAUAUUUAAGAAUAAUAAUAAUAUUUAAAAAUUUAAAAAUAAAAUUAAAUCAGAUCAAGAUGCAGUUUAUAAUUAAGAAUAUAAUGGAUUACAAUAAAUUUAUUUAGAUAGUAUUAUAAUUGUAAAGUUAUAAUUAAAUUGGAUUUAAAUGUAAUUUUUUUUAAAUUAAAAAAAUGAUUAUAAUUUAAAAUAUGUACAUAUUGCCCGUCGCUUUCAUAAAUAAAUUGAAAUAAGUCGUAACAAAGUAGAGAUACUGGAAAGUGUUUCUAGAAAGA
rnacentral:ncRNA from 1 species